UGUCUCUCCUGGAAGAGAAUGGUGGGCAUCUUUUUCCUGCCGUUUAUCUUAUCAGGUUUUGGUCCUCGGUUUAAACAGGAAGAGAACCUCGUGUUCGGAAAAGCGCAUCCGCCCCAGCCCAGGGUUUCAGCCGUCCCUCCGAGACCUCUCCCGAGCCCUCUCUCCCUUUCCACUUUCUUUCCCUCGCCCACCUCCUCCAGGUUUAAUUGGUCUCAUCUGACUCCUUUGGAGCUGAAGAACCGAUCUGUGGGACUUGGAACUGAAAGCACAGGUCAGGGUAACCCCCACUUCACACUGGAGGGCCACAAGUUCCUGAUCUUCGGGGGCUCCAUCCACUAUUUCCGGGUGCCCAGGGAGUACUGGAGGGACCGUCUGCUGAAGCUGAAGGCCUGUGGCUUCAACACUGUCACCACCUAUGUUCCGUGGAACCUGCAUGAGCCAGAAAGAGGCAGAUUCGACUUCUCUGGGAACCUGGACCUGGAGGCCUUUGUCCUGAUGGCCUCGGAGAUCGGGCUGUGGGUGAUUCUGCGUCCAGGCCCCUACAUCUGCAGUGAGAUUGACCUCGGCGGCUUGCCCAGCUGGCUCCUGCAAGACCCCCGGUUGCUGCUGAGGACAACCAACAAGGGCUUCAUUGAAGCAGUUGAGAAGUAUUUUGACCACCUGAUUCCCAGAGUGAUUCCUCUCCAGUACCGCCAGGGAGGCCCUGUCAUUGCGGUGCAAGUGGAGAAUGAAUACGGCUCAUUCAAUAAGGAUAAAAAGUACAUGCCCUAUCUCCACAAGGCCCUGCUGAGAAGAGGGAUUGUGGAGCUUCUCUUGACCUCCGACAGUGAGAAAAAUGUGCUGAGCGGCCACACCAAAGGAGUGCUGGCCACCAUCAAUUUGCAAAAACUUCACCGGAAUACUUUCAGUCAGCUUCAUAAAGUCCAGAGAGAUAAACCCCUUCUAAUUAUGGAAUACUGGGUCGGCUGGUUCGACAGAUGGGGAGAUAAGCACCAUGUUACAGAUGCAAAGGAGAUUGAACAUACUGUAUCUGAAUUCAUCAAAUAUGAGAUCUCCUUCAAUGUGUAUAUGUUCCAUGGUGGAACCAACUUCGGUUUCCUGAAUGGGGCCACAAACUACGGGAAGCACGCUGGCGUGGUUACCAGCUAUGACUAUGAUGCUGUGCUCACGGAGGCUGGCGAUUACACAGAAAAAUAUUUCAAGCUUCAAAAACUCUUUGGAUCUUUCUCAGCAAUUCCCCUGCCCCAAGUACCCAAACUUACUCCCAAGGCUGCAUAUCCCCCUGUGAGGCCCUCGCUGUUCCUCCCGCUGUGGGAUGCCCUAGCCUACUUAAAUGAGCCAGUCAGGUCACAUCAGCCCGUCAACAUGGAGAACCUUCCCAUAAACAAUGGGAGCGGCCAGUCCUACGGGCUUGUCCUGUAUGAGAAGUCCAUCUGCUCCGGAGGCCGCCUCUGUGCCCACGCUCGCGACAUGGCACAGGUGUUUUUGGAUGAGACAAUGAUAGGGAUUCUUAAUGAGAAUAACCAGAACCUGCACAUUCCUGAACUCAGAGUCUGCAGAUACCUGAGGAUCCUGGUGGAGAAUCAAGGACGAGUCAAUUUUUCAUGGCAGAUACAGAAUGAGCGGAAAGGAAUAACUGGGUCUGUGAGCAUCAAUAACUCUUCCCUGGAGGGUUUUACCAUCUACUCCCUGGAGAUGAAAAUGAGCUUCUUUGAGAGGCUCCGCUCCGCCACCUGGAGGCCUGUCCCAGACAGCCACCCGGGCCCCGCCUUCUACCGUGGGACCUUGAGGGCUGGCCCUUCUCCUAAGGACACCUUCCUGAGCCUGCUGCCACCAUUCCUUUCAGAACUGGAAUUAUGGAUUCGUGUUCAUCAAUGGACGUAACCUUGGGCGAUAUUGGAAUAUUGGGCCUCAGAAAACACUGUACCUUCCGGGAGCCUGGCUUCAUCCAGAAGACAAUGAGGUCAUCUUGUUUGAGAAGAUGGUGAGUGGCUCAGACAUCGAAUCUACAGACAAGCCAAUGCUGUAAAACCGUGUCUGAACACAUUUUUUGGGUUACUGGAGUUCAUCUAUAAGUCAUUUUUGGG